UACGAAGGGGGCUAGCGUUGCUCGGAAUCACUGGGCGUAAAGCGCACGUAGGCGGCUUCUUAAGUCAGGGGUGAAAUCCUGGAGCUCAACUCCAGAACUGCCUUUGAUACUGAGGAGCUUGAGUCCGGGAGAGGUGAGUGGAACUGCGAGUGUAGAGGUGAAAUGCGUAGAUAUCUGGAAGAACACCAGUGGCGAAGGCGGUCAACUGGCCCGUAACUGACGCUCAGGCACGAAAGCGUGGGUAGCGAACAGG
rnacentral:rRNA from 1 species